CACUCCCUCAGCUCCCGGAGCGAUACCAACAACCACAAAACCCUAAAGAACCAAAAAACAAAAACGUGAUACAAGUUUUGAGCAUUGGUUGACACUCAGUAGAUGGCCCAGAAUCCCCACGGAUGUUGACACAGCAGAUGCCCCUCAUUGGAAGAGCGACCCCACAUUAUGGAUGAUGGGCUGAGAACCUCAGAGGUCCCUCA
rnacentral:lncRNA from 1 species